GUCUUCUGCAUGGCCUCCUGCUUGCUGCUUUCACCAUUGCUGGUGGAUGGCAUCUCUGCUGGGACAGAGGGGCAACUCACACUCCGGCCAGACUGGGCAGCACAGGGCUGAAGAGGAGGAGGAGGAAAAUCCAAUGUGUUUGCCUGGAAGCCCUCAGGGCCCCCAGUGCUGGAGGUGUACAGCAGGUGCUAACGCGGCUUGGCUGUCACCUUCAAUGCAUCACCCGAAGCUGAGAGCCCCCCUUCGUCACUCCUAGCUUGCAGCCUCACAAUUCCAUUUCCCCACCCAAAUACAUCCAUUUUAAUAUGCACAUCACAGGCAGGCAGCACGGUCACAAAGGAGCCCCACCAGCAGCAGUCCCCACGUGGUGGAACGGAUGGAUGACCAGCCACCAGCCUCUGCCUCUUGGCUCCCAGCAGAUGGAUACCCAGCAGAGGCCUGGCACCAGAGUGCCACUGUCUAUGUGUCAGCUGCUUGUACCUCGGAAGCCACCUUCCAGGAGAGUGGUGGCCCGUAUCCGCUUCUGUCCACACCACUCAUACUCCUCAAAGCGGUUGUUGUUCUCAUGCUCGAUGUCCACAGCAUCAUCCUCAGCCAUGCAGGAGCCUUCCCUCUGUGAAGAGCAGAGCAGGAUCAUGCUGGGCCUAGGCCAUCCCCACCUGCUCCCCACAGUCUGCAACGAAGGCACAGCUCUAGCCCCAGCUGUGGUGUGCCAAGUGGGCCCUCAGCUCUAGGGCUCCUUUGAAGCAAACCAAUUUAGAGGUCAAAGGCCUGGGCUGGGCCUCUUCCCAAUAGUUUUCCGCUGGAGCCCAAGGAGGGAAUGAGUGAGAGUGAAAGCAAAGGGAGAGAGCAGUGGAGAGAAGGGAAGAAGCUGCUGAGACCACAUGGAGACCCCAAGAGCCCACAGAUUCAGGGGCAGUCAGCAGCUAGUGUCGGGGGAAGGGAGCGGGGAAGGAAGGUGGGUGGUGAUGGCCCCUCUACCUUAGAAAGGCAAUGCUCCACAUGCCUACUCAUCUCCUGCUCCGAUCCUGCCAGGGGGCGGUUGCACAGGGGACAUACCUGCCCUUCAUCUUGCUUCCUCCGUUUCAUUUUCCCAAUCCGAGCUGCACGGGGAAACCGAAAACAAAGCACAGAACAAGCAGACGGUCACUGCAGCCCCCAGGGUCCCAGUGGAGCUGACACAUCCUGACCUCUUGCCAGCCAUUGGCCUUUUUAUUCAGUGCCUGAUCUGGCCCUCAUCUUGAAAUACCUCCUGCUCCUUUGGGGACUGGGCUUUGCCAAGAGCACCUGGGGAGGAGACUGGUGCUAACUAAGCCAGUGAGUAAGUCCACUCUUUGGUUGCAGCUGGUGCAAGGUCUACCCAUACCUUUCUAUUUGCAGUGUUUAAUAAAAGUCCAAUGAGCAAAGACA